rnacentral:rRNA from 1 species
UACGUAGGGUGCGAGCGUUGUCCGGAAUUAUUGGGCGUAAAGAGCUUGUAGGCGGUUUGUCGCGUCUGCUGUGAAAAUCCGAGGCUCAACCUCGGACUUGCAGUGGGUACGGGCAGACUAGAGUGUGGUAGGGGAGACUGGAAUUCCUGGUGUAGCGGUGAAAUGCGCAGAUAUCAGGAGGAACACCGGUGGCGAAGGCGGGUCUCUGGGCCGUAACUGACGCUGGAGGAAGCGAAAGCGUGGGGAGCGAACAGG